rnacentral:rRNA from 11 species
UACGGGAGGCAGCAGUGGGGAAUAUUGGACAAUGGGCGCAAGCCUGAUCCAGCCAUGCCGCGUGAAUGAUGAAGGCCUUAGGGUUGUAAAAUUCUUUCAGCAGGGAAGAUAAUGACGGUACCUGCAGAAGAAGCCCCGGCUAACUCCGUGCCAGCAGCCUCGGUAAUACGGAGGGUACAAACGUUAAUCGGAAUUACUGGGCGUAAAGCGCACGUAGGCGGAUCAGUCAGUCAGAGGUGAAAUCCCGGAGCUCAACUUCGGAACUGCCUUUGAUACUGCUGAUCUAGAGUCCGGGAGAGGUGCAUGGAAUUCCGAGUGUAGAGGUGAAAUUCGUA